UGCGUAGGCGGCGUUAUAAGUCAGAGGUGAAAGGCCACCGCUUAACGGUGGGACUGCCUUUGAUACUGUAGUGCUUGAAUAAGGUUGAGGUUAGCGGAAUGUGACAUGUAGCGGUGAAAUGCAUAGAUAUGUCAUAGAACACCAAUUGCGAAGGCAGCUGGCUAGACCCUUAUUGACGCUGAGGAACGAAAGCGUGGGGAGCGAACAGGAUUAGAUACCCUGGUAGUCC
rnacentral:rRNA from 1 species